rnacentral:rRNA from 1 species
UUUCGGAGAGUUUGAUCCUGGCUCAGGACGAACGCUGGCGGCGUGCCUAAUACAUGCAAGUCGAGCGGAUUGAUGGGAGCUUGCUCCCUGAAAUCAGCGGCGGACGGGUGAGUAACACGUGGGUAACCUGCCUGUAAGACUGGGAUAACUCCGGGAAACCGGGGCUAAUACCGGAUAGUUCUUUUCCUCGCAUGAGGAAAAGUGGAAAGGCGGCUUCGGCUGCCACUUACAGAUGGACCCGCGGCGCAUUAGCUAGUUGGUGAGGUAACGGCUCACCAAGGCAACGAUGCGUAGCCGACCUGAGAGGGUGAUCGGCCACACUGGGACUGAGACACGGCCCAGACUCCUACGGGAGGCAGCAGUAGGGAAUCUUCCGCAAUGGACGAAAGUCUGACGGAGCAACGCCGCGUGAGUGAUGAAGGUUUUCGGAUCGUAAAGCUCUGUUGUUAGGGAAG